rnacentral:tRNA from 2 species
GGGCCGUUAGCUCAGUUGGUAGAGCAGCUGACUCUUAAUCAGCGGGUCGCAAGUUCGAAUCUUGCACGGCUCACCA